UACGGAGGAUCCUAGCGUUGUCCGGAUUUACUGGGUUUAAAGGGUGCGUAGGCGGAUUAUUAAGUCAGUGGUGAAAGUUUGCAGCUUAACUGUAAAAUUGCCAUUGAAACUGAUAAUCUUGAGUACGGUUGAGGUGGAUGGAAUGUGUCAUGUAGCGGUGAAAUGCUUAGAUAUGAUACAGAACACCGAUUGCGAAGGCAGUUCACUAAACCGUAACUGACGCUGAGGCACGAAAGCGUGGGGAUCAAACAGG
rnacentral:rRNA from 1 species